rnacentral:lncRNA from 1 species
CUGGUACAAAGGCGUUCAUGGAGGCUCUCCAGGCUGGUGCAGACAUCUCCAUGAUUGGGCAGUUUGGUGUCGGCUUCUACUCUGCCUACCUGGUGGCAGAGAAAGUGGUUGUGAUCACGAAGCACAACGAUGAUGAGCAGUAUGCCUGGGAGUCUUCUGCUGGUGGAUCCUUCACUGUCCGUGCAGACCACGGUGAGCCCAUUGGCCGGGGUACCAAAGUGAUCCUUCACCUCAAAGAAGACCAGACAGAGUACUUAGAGGAGAGGAGGGUCAAGGAGGUGGUGAAGAAACACUCACAGUUCAUAGGCUACCCCAUCACCCUCUAUCUGGAGAAGGAACGCGAGAAGGAGAUCAGUGAUGAUGAGGCAGAGGAAGAGAAAGGGGAGAAGGAGGAGGAAGAUAAGGAGGAUGAGGAGAAGCCUAAGAUUGAGGAUGUGGGAUCUGAUGAGGAGGAUGACAGCGGCAAAGAUAAGAAAAAGAAAACAAAGAAGAUCAAGGAGAAGUACAUUGACCAGGAAGAGCUGAAUAAGACGAAGCCCAUCUGGACCAGAAAUCCUGAUGACAUCACUCAAGAGGAAUAUGGUGAAUUCUACAAGAGCCUCACCAAUGACUGGGAAGACCACUUGGCAGUCAAGCACUUCUCUGUAGAAGGGCAGUUGGAAUUCAGGGCAUUGCUCUUCAUUCCCCGGCGAGCUCCCUUUGACCUCUUUGAGAACAAGAAGAAGAAGAACAACAUCAAAUUGUAUGUCCGUCGUGUGUUCAUCAUGGACAGCUGUGAUGAGCUGAUACCUGAGUACCUCAGUGAGUAUUUGCUGGGUUUAAGAUGUGCAAUACAGGCAAACCUAUAUUAGACCUUCAGAAUACAGCUGAGAUACUGAUCCAGAGUCCUUGGACUAACUCUGAUCCAGCUGUUCCCUGUGCUCUGUCUGGUUCAAUGUAG